rnacentral:rRNA from 1 species
GAUGAACGCUAGCGGGAGGCUUAAUACAUGCAAGUCGAGGGGUAACAGGGGCUUCGGCCCGCUGACGACCGGCGCACGGGUGAGUAACGCGUACGCAACUUACCUCCAAGCGAGGGAUAGCCCUGGGAAACUGGGAUUAAUACCUCAUGUGAUUAUGAUGCCGCAUGGUGUUAUAAUUAAAGUUCAGGCGCUUGGAGAUGGGCGUGCGUCCUAUUAGCUAGUUGGUGAGGUAACGGCUCACCAAGGCGACGAUAGGGUAGGGGGCGUGAGAGCGUGGCCCCCCCAGACGGGUACUGAGACACGGACCCGACUCCUACGGGAGGCAGCAGUAAGGAAUAUUGGACAAUGGGCGCAAGCCUGAUCCAGCCAUCCCGCGUGCAGGAUGACAGCCCUACGGGUU